rnacentral:lncRNA from 1 species
AAAUAAUAGAAGUAAGGCAAUAGAAUUAAGAGGGAUUGGGGAAGGGGGGAAAGGCUUCCUGGAGAAGGAGGCAUUGUAGUUGGGACUUAAGGAAGCCAGGGAGGAGAGAGCACAUUCCAGGAACGGGGGACAGCCAGAGAGCACCUUGAGAGGAGAGAUGGAGCAUCUUGUUAUUGGAACAUCCAGGAGACCAGUGUCAUUGGACUGAAGAGUACCUGGGAGGAAGUAAGGUGUAAAAAGACUAGAAAGGCAGGAGGGGGUUAGAUCAUGAAGGGUUCUGAAUGCCAAACAAAGCAUCUUGUAUUUCCUCCUAGAAGCAGUAGGAAGCUACUGGGGUUUAUUGAGUAGAGAGUUGGGAGUGGGGAAGAUGAAAUGAUCAGUCCUGCAUUUAGGAAAAUCCCAGUAGUGGCCAAAUGGAGAAUGGAUUGGCAUGGGGAGAGAUUGGAGGCAGGCAGAGCCUCCAGCAAGCUAGUGAAAUAAUCAAGUGCCUGUUCUAGAGUAGUGGCAGAAGCCUCAGAAGACAGAAAAAAAAAUGUGGCAAAGGUCAAAUUGAACCUUAAUAAAGGUUUGUGCAAAUGGGGCAAGCAAAGAGUUGGGGGAAGUGGCUGCCUGGAGAAGGAAGUGUAUCCAGAAACUAGCGAAGCGAAGCUGUCGUCAGCUCAGGCUAGCACUUUGGGGAGGAAAUCACUUGCGGUUCAACCUCCGGGGCUAGGAGGAAGUAAGCACUUCCUGGGACCAUGCUGCCAGCAACCUCCACAUGUCAGCACCCUUGGAAAAGCCCCAGACACCCUGUCCCAGUUACUGCUCUGCACUGAGGUCAGGAAGCAGAAGUUAAUUGUCCCACAUAACGUGACAAAGUCAAUGGCAGAACCCAGGCUCGACCAGAGAGAAGAAGAAGCUCAAGGCAAACAUACUCCAGGCCCUCUAUUGAAUGGGUGAAAGUGUGGUGGCAGAGUUAGAAGAAAGAAAGUUUGGAAUACUGUAGUGCUCAAAGGAAUAAUAAAGUGGAGGAAUUCCAUGGGGACUGGAACA